AUACAACAGGAAAAAUGGAGAAUGGAUAGUGAGGGGUGAUCAGCAGGCUCUGCCAUGACAACCAGCAGUGCCUUCUUGCUGCAUCCUCUGGAGAGAAGGAGCCCUGCGUCCUCAGGGAAGGCAGAAGGGCAGGCAAGCCGGAUACUGUGAUGGUGCCUCUUCCAUUCACAAGGGAGGAGCCCUCACAGCCUUGUCAUCACCUCCUAAAGGCCUUGCCUUUUAAUUUGAUCACAUGGGCCAUGAAGUUUCAACACCUGAAUUUUGGCAGAAAUGCAUUCAAACCACAGCAGACCCAUUAUCCUCUUUCUAAGGAACCUGGAAUAAGACAAGUCCAUAGGACAGGCAUGGACAAGCGUCCUGAGCCCUGGGGCCAGGGGAAAUCCAAGGUAACAAGGGAAAUUGGCGAUCCCAGCCAGGUGCAUGGCUAGAGCAGUUCUUUCCUUUGGAAGGGCAGCGAUGGAAAUUUCAGCUCUACUUUUUCCUUUUCCCAAGCUGUGUGAUCUUGAGCAGCUUCCUUGCAGCUCAUCCUUCAUGGCCUAAAACAGAUGAUACAGCAACAUCAGCAAGGUGGCAGACUAAGGAGCUUCAGAUACUACUUACUACACCCAGAAACAUUUUUUAAAAACAAUUAGAGGACCUAUGGAAAAUAGUGAAAAGGUACAGGAGCCAAGCAACUGCCCAUUCAAGAAAAAGCAACAUUCAAAAUGCAGGAGAUUUUGUGGAUUUGUACUCCCCCUUUCUGCACCCUUCCCUGGCACUAAGCAGUGUUGGUUUGGAGGAGGUGGCAGCCCAGCUCCCAGUUCCUUCCCUCUCAUGCUAGUGAGCAGAGUCCAACCUGUCUGGGGAUGGCUUGAAGGAUUAGUCCUGCUUUGUUCAACUCAGGGCUCAGAAUAAGAGAAGCAGGUUAAUUCAGAUUGCAGGCUGAGAAAAAGCUAUGGAAAGCAGCAGAAACUGCUCUUAAAAACUGCAGGGAGGCUACAGAGUCUGAAGAUGCCUGGGCAAGAGAUUUCAAAUGGAAGCAUGUAAUAAACCCUCUAAGGGCACACAAAGAAGCCAGAACAAGACUUUUGGAAAAUUAAGAUGUCUAAAAGGAGCCAUGUUUAUGGGGAAAUAAUUAAAGCCACGUGAAGGCUCAGACAAGAUGCAUACUCAGAAAAGACCUGAGAAGAUCUUAAGCUACUCCUUGGGCUGACUCCAAGGCUCAGAACAUGUCCUGAGAAUUAGUGAAGAUCUUCCCCAUCACAUAGCCUGUCCGCAAAUACUAGGAGAAGUAGCUGUUUUUUCAAAUUCUUAAUUCUCAACAACAACAACAAAAAAAUCACAAGGCGUACAAAGACACCAGAAAUACAACUUCUUCAGGGAAGAAAAUGAAUUGUCGGAAACCACCGGUAAAUCCAAGAAAAUGAUGGAGGGACCUUCUGUAGUAUGGCAGAGACCAAGAGAAAGUACUGUUACAUGGUUACAAGAUCAAGCUCCCAAAGACAUAAGCAAGAGGGAAACCUCAUCCUGUUUCUUCGUUUAUUUCAGGGACCUGUAACAAAGUUUAUUACUGACCAGCUUGCUGGGCUAUCUUGAACAGCAAGCUUAUGGGGUCCUAAGCUUAUGUUCUAUUUUAAGGUACCCCUCUUCAUGGCAGAAUGACACAGAAAGACAAAUUCAUAGCACAAAGUUCACCAGAUUCGUUACAGCUUAAGACUAGCUUCAUGAAUCCUUUUUCCUAUUAAUUAAAACUUUGCAAGAGAUAGUGAUUUUUACCAUUCCCGCAUCCAUUUUGCAGAGUGAAGGAGUGAGAGAGAGAAUUGUCUGCUCUAUCUAAGGUGAGGAGUUCAAGGGGGCCAGAGAAAGACCCACCCAUUGCAGAGACACUGAAUUAAAAGUUCAGGUGGCAGCUGGUUGGUUGAUAAAGAAUCUUUUCCAGCAGUCCCAUCAGCUCUCAACUUUUCCCCUUUGGGGAGAAAAAGUUCCCCAUGUUCCAAAGUUCUGUAUAUGCCUAAUCCUGUCAGCCAUAGCUGUCAGCAAAGAGUGCAAGGCAGAUUAAUCCAAAGAGAAUAGUGGUUAAAAUACCAUAGUGCCAAGUCCAUUUUUGACGAAGAGGGACUUUGCUGCACCCAAUCCCAUCCUUUACCUGGGUAAAAUGUACCCCAUUACUUACCCAAAGUCAGCCAAUUUGUACUGCAGUCUAUUUCCUUUGGAAUGGGAUGGCAACUUAGCUAAAAGGUUAGCAGAUUUCAUUUUUUUAAGUAUAUUAGUCGCUUAAGCUUUUUAUUUACCUUUCACAAAGUUGUUAAAUAAAGAUGCCAAAAUAUUUUU
rnacentral:lncRNA from 1 species